UGAGACGAGUCUCAUCCCGGUAGAGCGAAUGAUUAGAGGCAUUGGGGUCGAAACGACCUCAACGUAUUCUCAAACUCCAAAUAGAUGAGAUCCCCGGCUUUCUUAAAAGUGAAGCCGUGGGAAUAGGAUCAGAGUGCCAAGUGGGCCAAUUUUGGUAAGCAGAACUGGCGCUGUGGGAUGAACCAAACGCAGAGUUAAGGCGCCUAAAUUGACGCUCAUGUGAAACCAUGAAAGGCGUUGGUUGCUUAAGACAGCAGGACGGUGGCCAUGGAAGUUGGAAUCCGCUAAGGAGUGUGUAACAACUCACCUGCCGAAGCAACUAGCCCUGAAAAUGGAUGGCGCUGUAGCGUCGUGCCUAUACUCUGCCGUCAAUGACAAAGAUGAUUAAUAAGCUGUGUGUUAAUUAAUGUUGUAGUCUUGACUGCAGUAUUGUUAAUUACAAAGUUUAUUACUAUAUCAUCAUUAUGUCUUGAUGAGUAAGAGGGCCGCGGCGAUGAGCGCAGAAGGGUCUGGGCGAGAGCCCGCCUGGAGCCGUCGCUGGUGCAGAUCUUGGUGGUAGUAGCAAAUACUCCAGCGAGGCCCUGGAGGACUGAUGUGGAGAAGGGUUUCUUGUGAACAGCUGUUGCACAAGAGUCAGUCGAUCCUAAGCCCUAGGAGAAAUCCGAAGCGAUAUGCGCCCGUUAAAUAAUUUUUUUUUAUUAAAUGUUUGGCGCUAUCUGGGCGAAAGGGAAUCCGGUUCCUAUUCCGGAACCCGGCAGCGGAACCGUUCCAAAUCGGGCUCUCAUUUGAGAACUCGUCGGGGUAAGCCCGACAAGAUCCGGAGACGCCGUAGGGAAAUUCGGAGAGAGUUGUCUCUUCUCUAUAAGCGUUCGAGUUCCCUGGAAACCUCUAGCAGGGAGAUAGGGUUUGGAACGCGAAGAGCACCGCAGUUACGGCGGUGUCCGGAUCUUCCCUACGGACCUUGAAAAUCCGGGAGAGGGCCACGAGGAACCCCGCGCCGGCUCGUACCCAUAUCCGCAGCAGGUCUCCAAGGUCAAUAGCCUCUAGUCGAUAGAAUAAUGUAGGUAAGGGAAGUCGGCAAAUCCGAUCCGUAACUUCGGGAUAAGGAUUGGCUCUGAGGACUGAGUCGUGCCGGGCUUGGUCGGGAAGUGGAGCGGUGUCAACGUGCCGGGCCUGGGCGAGGAGAAAAUUGCGUUUCUGCGCUUUUGGAUCCGAGCUCGGUCCCGUGCCUUGGCCACCCACGGAUCUUCCUUGCUGCGAGUCGUUAGCCGUGUGGUUACCGCUGGCUUUUGCUAGCUGGUCGACCUGGCUUACGAUCUCUUCGGCCGACAUUCAACAGUCAACUCAGAACUGGCACGGACAAGGGGAAUCCGACUGUCUAAUUAAAACAAAGCAUUGCGAUGGCCCCAACGGGUGUUGACGCAAUGUGAUUUCUGCCCAGUGCUCUGAAUGUCAAAGUGAAGAAAUUCAAGCAAGCGCGGGUAAACGGCGGGAG
rnacentral:ncRNA from 1 species